rnacentral:misc_RNA from 1 species
AAAAUCGGUCCCAAAGAAUUCACUGCAGUCUUCUAUAGUCUUCAGAACUGGAGGGCAAUUUUUGAAAGAUUUGACAAGGAUAGGAGUGGAAAAAUUGAUUCCUCUGAAUUAAGAGAGGCCUUACAUAGCUUGGGAUAUGCUGUAUAUGGUCCUGUUUUGGAGCUGCUGGUUUCCAAGUUUGACAAAACUGGUGGACUGAACAAGGCCAUUGAAUAUGAUAACUUCAUUGAGUGCUGCCUCACUGUCAAGGGACUGACAGAGAAAUUCAAGGAGAAGGAUAUUACAUACUCUGGCUCAGCAACAUUUACUUAUGAUUCCUUCAUGCUGACUAUUCUGCCUUUCCUCAUUGCUUAGAGACAUGUUCACUUUGCAAUUGUUAGUUCGGUUAUCAGAAGGAGUCUCUCUAUCUCUACAUAACAUCAUCCCGUAAUCCCACUUAUUGAAUUCCACUGAAUAUUUGUUGUAAC